GACAGAGGAUGCAAGCGUUAUCCGGAAUGAUUGGGCGUGAAGCGUCUGUAGGUGGCUUUUAAGUCCGCCGUCAAAUCCCAGGGCUCAACCCUGGACAGGCGGUGGAAACUACCCGAAGCUGGAGUACGGUAGGGGCAGAGGGAAUUUCCGGUGGAGCGGUGAAAUGCGUAGAGAUCGGAAAGAACACCAAUGGCGAAGGCAGAUCUCUGGGCCGUAACGUGACGCUGAGGAGCGAAAGCAUGGGGAGCGAACAGGG
rnacentral:rRNA from 1 species